rnacentral:rRNA from 10 species
UGUCUGGAAACCAUAGCAUUGUGGCCCCACCUGAUCCCAUCCCGAACUCAGAAGUGAAACGCAAUCGCGCCGAUGGUAGUGUGGGGUCUCCCCAUGUGAGAGUAGGUCAUUUCCAGGCGC